rnacentral:rRNA from 1 species
CCUACGGGCGGCUGCAGUGGGGAAUAUUGGGCAAUGGACGCAAGUCUGACCCAGCAACGCCGCGUGAAGGAAGAAGGCUUUCGGGUUGUAAACUUCUUUUAAGGGGGAAGAGCAGACGACGGUACCCCUUGAAUAAGCCACGGCUAACUACGUGCCAGCAGCCGCGGUAAUACGUAGGUGGCAAGCGUUGUCCGGAUUUACUGGGUGUAAAGGGCGUGCAGGCGGAGAGACAAGUCAGAUGUGAAAUCCACGGGCUUAACCCGUGAACUGCAUUUGAAACUGUUUGCCUUGAGUGUCGGAGAGGUAAUCGGAAUUCCUUGUGUAGCGGUGAAAUGCGUAGAUAUAAGGAAGAACACCGAUUGCGAAGGCAUCUCACGAAUCCGCGAUGGACGCUGAUGCACGAAAGCGUGGGUAUCAAUCAGGAUUAGAUACCCGGGUAGUC